rnacentral:lncRNA from 1 species
GACCUGAGUGCAGUGGACAAGGAAGAAGCCUUGGAGAUGGGCAGGCGGCAGUGCUGCUAGGAAGAACAAGGGAGAGAGGAGACCAGGUGCCAAGGGACAAGACGAUGACUGUGAGAUGGGCAAAUAUCACCCAACCCGUGCCCGGCACCAUUUUCCAUGUUAACAGACACAUGUAGCAUCUUCACCUGAAAUGCUCUCGAAGGUCUGCGAAGGCCACAGCACACUAAAGCACUGAUGUGAUGAAGCGUGUGUGUGUGUCUAUGUGAGUACUUAGCACAACAGUACUUGGGCAGGAGGUUGAGGACCGGUGCCCGUGACACAGCCUCAGGAGGUCCUGACGAGAUGUGCCCAAGGUGGUCAGAACACACUGUAGAUUUAUACACUCUAGGGAGACAUGAGACAUCAAUCAACAUACGUAAGAUGAACAUUGGUUUGGUUAAGAUGAGCAUUGGUUUUGUCCAGAAAGGCAAGACAACUCCAAGCAAAGGUAGGAAGACUGGAAGCAGGGAGGGGGCUUCCGGGUCACGGGUAGAUAAGAGACAAAUGGUGGCAUUCUUUUGAGUUUCUGAUUAGCCUCUUCAAAGGAAACAAUCAGAUCUGCAUUUCUCUCAGUGAGCAGAGGGGUGACUUUGAAUAGAACGGGAGGCACGUUGGUGCUAAGCAGUUCCCAGCUAGACUUUUCCCUUUAGCUUAGGGAUUUUGGAGCCCCAGGAUUUUCCUGCUUGUGAUUUAAACACAGGGCUCCUUUUGGGGCUCCACCCAGGCUGCUGGCCACAGAGACCCAGGAAAACCCUCCACAGCCUGAGGCGAAGUAGGCAGGUGGGGGGCAGGGACAGGAGCAGGGACAGUGGCAGCCUGAGCCCCGGUGAGGCAGGGUGUGCGGUGACCUUAACUGCAGGCAGCAGGGCCUGAAACCAGGGGCAGAAGCAUGUGGUUCCCCAGGAGGAUUCCAGACUGCCAGCCAUGGGGUCCUUGAGGCAGGGAGGAUGGCAUUUAAUUUUGUAAACUCCAUGGCACCUGGUUCAGCGCAAGACACACAGGAGUGUGGAAAGAACCGUCUUGCCGAAGAUUCGCUCUGCCCACCCCUCCCUUAGUGCUGGAGACAAUGCCGUGUGUGGGGAGGCCCAGCACUAAAUGUGUUAAUGAGUUUUAUACGAAACAACUCACAUCAUGAAUGCUCCCUCUACUGCUGAAGACCAACGCAGAUGCGCUUACAGCAGGGGAGUGCCCUGCUAGAGCCCUAAGAUUCACACUGUCAACAGCUCAUGGAUGUUUGGGAAACAAGAAGCUCUUUGGAAGCCUCAGGACAAGGCACCCUUCUUGUCCCACAGUCUGCACAUUGUCCACCUUAAUAAAAGUAAUGACCAAAGAGAACUGAAUAACCAAAUUUUGAUUUAGUUGGCUUCUGAGACUAUUCUAAACACCUCUUGUCUGUUUUUUGAUGGUGACUGUUAGCAUGGGAUCCAAAACCAAGGUUCUAGGGAAGAAAAUCCAAGUUGAGACACCAUGGCUAUAAGUGGUAGAUCAUGCCAUGUUCUGUGGCUAAAAGCUCCCGGCUACACCCUGGGCAGGUCGGAAAACCAGAGCCAAUGGACCCAGAUUAUAAAUAUUCUAGUAAUACAGGCAACUCUAAUUUUAAGCUAACUUUUUGGGAAUAUGGGUUGCUGUCAUUCAAGAAUUUCAAGAUGAAAUUUAUAUUGUGCUGCCGUGAUUAGAAAUCGUUGUCCUCCAAGAAAGGGACUCACUCCACUCCCCCAGCCCCCCCACCAUCUCCCUUCGUCAAGUUCUGGUUGGUCCAAGGCCAAUUCAGCUUCUUCAUAAGUAGCCAUGUUCUCCUCGGCCCUCUGAGUUUUUCCAUAAACAUAAACUUUCCGGGCCCUCAAUGCCUCACAUGUCACAUGAAGAACUUGACAUUCUCUGACUCUGGUUCCAAAAUCUGGACCUAGUGAGGAGAUCUACAACAAAGAGAGAAAGAGCUAGACUGUCUUCUAGCUCACAUACUUGUGUUCAAAAUCACCUAGAUGUGUUUGGGAGACAGUAGGUUCCCCAGCAUGGAGGACUUGGGGACCCAGAAGGUGGCUGGAAAGUGGGCUGUCCCCUGGCCACAAAACAGAAUGGAGGAGGCCAAAGAAGACAGGUGUGGCCCCAGACAGAGGUGACACCCUCACUCCUGCCUGUCUGCUAAUCCAGCUCUACCCACAGAAGCAGGGUCCACACCCACAGAGGGAGACGCCUAGGACCCAGAUGAAGCCGCUGGAACUGCCUUUAAGAAACACGGAGGAAGAAUCAGGGGAAACCGUUUGUCCCACUCGGGAAAGGGGAAGCCACACGUGUGGAUGACAUCAGCCCAGUCUAGGGGAGGAGAGGCCAAUGCCAGUGAUAAUUAAACUCAGGCUUUUCAGGGAAUUACUCAAGAUUUGGUUCCUAUUUUAAUCCAAACAUAAAGAAAGCAAUGCAUUUAUUGUUUUGAAUUGCAUGGAACUACCCACAGCUAAGGACAUAGUGGGGAAAGACAUUUUUUAAAAAGGAAAGUAGACUGAAAAUGGUAUUUCAACAAUUCUGAAAUGACUGUACACAUGUAAAAGAUUGAACACAUAAGGAAGCAGUCAUACCUAGUGGGAACCAGGCUUCUGGCUGCCGGAGAAUGGAGCGACAGCUACGCAGUGGGGGCUAGAAUAAGCCCCGUGUCUUACCACCUUAAUAAAGAAAUAAUGUGGUGUUGGAUGGUGACCCAAAGUGUAGAGUAAAUAUACGAGCCCAUGCUGAUGCAGAUCAAUGAUUGAGUAAUAAAUACAUCGGGGAGAAGGGACAGGCGUUUUUUAUGGAAGAAUUACAGAGUACACAUAGACAUUCCUCAGGGUGGAGAUUAGCUGCUGUCUUCUUGACUGCUGGCUCCCUGGGCACUCGCUCCCGCAGAACCGCGUGUGGAAAGGGAAGGCAGUGGGUUUGCAGUGGAGAGAUGUGGCCGGCACCACGGAGCCAACGGGAUCAAGGUUAACAUCGCUGGUGAGGAGGCCUGUCCCUGUCCUGUAUCCCCCAUAUGACGGGACAAGAAAGUGCCUCACCAGGGAGCUGUCCUCCGCAAACCCACAGCCCCAGCCUAAUCAUGAGAAAACAGCAAACAAACCAAAAUUAAGGAACAGCCUACAGACUACGGUGCUCUUCAAAAGGGUCCAGGUCAUGAAAAACAAGGAAAAUGAAAAGCUGUCACAGAGCAGCCAGAAGAUACGAUGACUGAGUCCAACAGGGAAUCCAGGACAGGAUCCUGGCACAGAAAAAAGAACCCUCGUGGGAAGCCUGGAGGAACCCAAAUAAAGGCUGUCCCCCCACUAACUGUCACAUGGCAGCGUUACUUCCUAGCUGUACGAAUGUGCCGUGGCUCUGUGAGAUGCUCAGCAUUUGGGGAAGCUGGCACAGGGCCUACGGGGUAAAUGCAUUGGAUCUAUAGGUUGGUACCUUUCAAGGGGACUCUCUGUACUACAUUUGCAACUUUUCUGUAAAUCUAAAACUAUUUCAAAAUAAAAGCUGUAUUUA